CACGUAGGGCGCAAGCGUUUGUCCGGAAUUAUUGGGCGUAAAGAGCUCGUAGGUGGUUUGUUACGUCCGCUGUGAAAUCCUAGAGCUUAACCCUGGGCUUGCAGUGGAUACGGGCAGACUAGAGGUAGGUAGGGGAGAAUGGAAUUCCUGGUGUAGCGGUGAAAUGCGCAGAUAUCAGGAGGAACACCGGUGGCGAAGGCGGGUCUCUGGGCAGUAACUGACGCUGAGGAGCGAAAGCGUGGGGAGCGAACAGG
rnacentral:rRNA from 1 species